rnacentral:rRNA from 1 species
UACGAAGGUCCCAAGCGUUAUUCGGAAUCACUGGGCGUAAAGGGAGCGUAGGCGGCGUGGUAAGUCAGAUGUGAAAUCCCCGGGGCUCAACCCCGGAACUGCAUCCGAUACUGCCAUGCUAGAGGAUUGGAGAGGUAGCUGGAAUUCUUGGUGUAGCAGUGAAAUGCGUAGAGAUCAAGAGGAACACUCGUGGCGAAAGCGAGCUACUGGACAAUUCCUGACGCUGAGGCUCGAAGGCUAGGGUAGCGAAAGGG